rnacentral:rRNA from 1 species
GACGAACGCUGGCGGCGUGCUUAACACAUGCAAGUCGAACGGAAAGGCCCUGCUUUUGUGGGGUGCUCGAGUGGCGAACGGGUGAGUAACACGUGAGUAACCUGACCUUGACUUUGGGAUAACUUCAGGAAACUGGGGCUAAUAACGGACAGGAGCUCCCGCUGCAUGGUGGGGGUUGGAAAGUUUCGGCGGUUGGGGAUGGACUCGCGGCUUUUCAGCUUGUUGGUGGGGUAGUGGCUUACCAAGGCUUUGACGGGUAGCUGGCCUGAGAGGGUGACCGGCCACAUUGGGACUGAAAUGCGGCCCGGACUCCUACGGGAGGCAGCAGUGGGGAAUAUUGCACAAUGGGCGGAAGCCUGAUGCAGCAACGCCGCGUGCGGGAUGACGGCCUUCGGGUUGUAAACCGCUUUCGCCUGUGACGAAGCGUGAGUGACGGUAAUGGGUAAAGAAGCACCGGCUAACUACGUG